UACGAGGGGAGCUAGCGUUGUUCGGAAUUACUGGGCGUAAAGGGCGCGUAGGCGGUCCUAUAAGUCAGAUGUGAAAGCCCCGGGCUUAACCUGGGAGGUGCAUUUGAAACUGUAGAACUUGAGAUCGAGAGAGGAAAGCGGAAUUACGAGUGUAGAGGUGAAAUUCGUAGAUAUUCGUAAGAACACCAGUGGCGAAGGCGGCUUUCUGGCUCGAUACUGACGCUAAGGCGCGAAAGCGUGGGGAGCAAACAGG
rnacentral:rRNA from 1 species